GCCGGCAGCUAGCUCUCUGCAACUCUCACAUAAUCGCCCACUGAAAGAUAAGCAGGGCUGCGCCCGCCACCCUGUCAGUACAUGGAUGGGAGACCACAUGGGAAAGCUAUGUUGUUGCCAGAA
rnacentral:rRNA from 1 species